CCCCCAACCCCCACCCCACUCCCAAGAGCCACAGACCCCUGGCCUCCAGCAUCCUAGCAUCCAGGCUGCAGCAGGUGGCCUGCGAGGGACCAGAGACUAGAGCCAGCCCACCUGGAGCUGCGGGAGGAGGACUCUGCCGGAAGCCGAGAACCCCUGUGUAGCACUGCGGCCCGGGACCGCGUCACCCCAAGUCCCCGCCUGCACCCUAGCCCGGAGCGCCCCCGCCCCGCGCGCCGCCUCCUCCCCAAGCCCGGGGCCUGAAAGCUGCAAGGAAUCUGUCCAGCUCGGCGGAGUUUUCUCCAGGCGACUGCGGUGACGCAGCUCCUAAAGUUUAAAUGCAACUUUCUCUCUUGCUUUCCACA